GGGCAGAGCUAGUAGGUCAUGCUGUGACUUCAAGAUGCUCUGGGAGGUGGCUGCAAAGACAGAUGCCCAGCAAAGGAUGCUCAAGGAGACUCCCCGCUGACUUUGGCUGUGCUCGGCAGCCUCUCCCUGCAGUCUAACAAGACUGCAGCACCUGGUCCCUCCUCCCCCUCCCUGCCAGGCCCUGGUCUGUCUUACUGCAGAGACCCAGGGCUGCCUGGCACUCCUCCAUCCGUGGAGGCGGCACUGGCACACUGGGAGGGCCCUCCUCAGAGACGGCUGCGGGGCUAGAAAUGGAAUGUGGCACAGAUGGGCCAGGGGGCGAGGGAUUCCCUCAGCCCCAUGAAAGGGCCGUGGGUAUUUACAGCUCUUGGAACCAUCUGCGAGCUCAUGCCACCUUAUUUCCUGCAUUCGUAGCAUCCUUAGCCCCAGCUCCCUCGGCCCCCGGCUCCGGAAAGGUUUUCCUUUCAUGUCGCUGCUUAAAAUAGAGGCUUACAUAAGUGUAGUUCUGAUCGGAGAGAAAAUCAGGGAUGCCGGAGUAGGGGCCGGGCAGAUGGAGGGCGAACGCCUGCCCUGGUGCCUGCCGCGUGCUCCGGGCAGCGCUGGCUUCUUCUGCUGACCCCACCCAGAUGGCCGAGGAGGGGAUGCCUGGGAGACGAUGCCAGGAAUGGCAGGAAAUCCUCAGAAAGAUCAAUGCUAGAGCCAACCUGAUACACCGAGCCAGGAACUGCAAACAGCUAAGGAAGAGAAAGCGCCAAGAAAUCCCCCUGCCUCCCGGAGAGACCCGCCCACACAGCCACGUGGGAACACAGCCUGCCUUCCAUCCCUCGCAAUAUGCCUCUCCACUCCUCCACCUCCAGCAGCUCUUAGCUCCAGGCACUCAGUGGGGACCGUGGGUGAGUGGGCUCCUCCAGGCAGCAGGAAGGGGAAGACGGCAUGAAGUACAGCGAUUCGGGAGGGGGCUACGGGACGCAUCUGUGCAUGCAUACUGGAAUCUAGACUUUGGGUAGGAGGAAGAAUUCAGGACGGAAGGGAUAGAUAGGCCCGGUGUUCCGUAGGGGUGGCUUCUCCUGAGGUAGAGGGACCCUUGCUGGGCACAUCCGAGAACUGAGGAGUCCACCCUGCACAGAAGCCAUGUUGGGGGGUGGGGUAGUGAGGAGUAUGCUGUCACUGAUUCCCUCAGGGUGACACUUAAACUCCUUUCCCUGGUGGCCCUCCUAACUGACUUCUCACCAGCCACACAACACUCCGUGCUGUUUUCCUGUCUUCAAGGCUCAGCUGAGUUUGGUCGCUUUGCGGUUCUCUGUGUCAGCCUGCUGGCAACUCCCAGCUCAGGUGGCUGCUUUCCUGCAGCUGACCCACUUCUCUGCAUCACAGGCACACACCAGGGCCCUGGCAGCCCCGGCUGGCUCGUCACUCCCUGCGGCAGGGCAUGCCAUUUCUCACCUGAGCUCCUUGAACACAGAGCUUCAUAAAUCCACCUUUGUGGGGAGAGCAAUACCCCAGGCAGACGACUCUGGGCUGGCACAGAGACUCCUUCUCUGUCUACCCUAGUCCUCUAAGAGGACAGGUCUCUGGGUGUGUCUGGUGGGGAGGAGGGGUGGAUUUUCAGAAAUGGGUGUUAUUAGAGCAGAUAGAACAUAAGACAGAGCAAGUCCUCCAGAUGACCUGGCCCCUUAGCGGACAGACAGCAGUGAGGACAUGCUCUUGUGGGUCCUUAGUGCUUUUUGUACAAGAGGGGACCAUAGUUCCCGCAGGACAGCCAGAAGCAGAAGUCUGCCCAGCUGUUACCAUGGCUUUGGGGGCAGGGCUAAAAAAUAAAUAAAUAAAUAAAUAAAAAGCUG